AGUUCGAAUAAGAGUAAUUGGAGUAAAACAUGAUUUAAAACCGUUGGAAGGAAAGGUCAAGCGAGUCUUCAUAUUGAAUCCAAAUGGAGUACGCAUGGCUGAGUGGGAUGACGUCGACUUCAAAAACGGUAUUGCUAAUGUUGAGAUGCCUCUUUCCAAACAACCUGUGCUUGGUAAAUGGAYCAUUGUAGCGAGCUA